rnacentral:rRNA from 1 species
ACGGGUGAGUAACACGUGGGUAACCUGCCUCAUAAAGGGGAAUAGCCUUUCGAAAGGAAGAUUAAUACCGCAUAAGAUUGUAGUACCGCAUGGUACAGCAAUUAAAGGAGCAAUCCGUUAUGAGAUGGACCCGCGUCGCAUUAGCUAGUUGGUGAGGUAACGGCUCACCAAGGCGACGAUGCGUAGCCGACCUGAGAGGGUGAUCGGCCACAUUGGGACUGAGACACGGCCCAGACUCCUACGGGAGGCAGCAGUGGGGAAUAUUGCACAAUGGGGGAAACCCUGAUGCAGCAACGCCGCGUGAGUGAUGAAGGUCUUCGGAUUGUAAAACUCUGUCUUCAGGGACGAUAAUGACGGUACCUGAGGAGGAAGCCACGGCUAACUACGUGCCAGCAGCCGCGGUAAUACGUAGGUGGCAAGCGUUGUCCGGAUUUACUGGGCGUAAAGGGAGCGUAGGUGGAUAUUUAAGUGGGAUGUGAAAUACUCGGGCUUAACCUGGGUGCUGCAUUCCAAACUGAAUAUCUAGAGUGCAGGAGAGGAAAGUAGAAUUCCUAGUGUAGCGGUGAAAUGCGUAGA